AACGAACGCGGGCGGCGUGCCUAAUACAUGCAAGUCGAACGAGAGCGACCGGUGCUUGCACUAGUCAAUCUAGUGGCGAACGGGUGAGUAACAAGUGGGUAACUUGCCCAUCAGAGGCGGAUAACAUUCGGAAACGGAUGCUAAAACAGCAUAGGUCCAUUAACCGCAUGGUUGAAGGAGGAAAAGAGGCGCAAGCUUCUGGUUUUGGAUGGACCCGCGGUGCAUGCGCUAGUUGGUGAGGUAACGGCUCACCAAGGCCGUCAUGCAUAGCCGACGUGAGAGGCUGAUGGGCCACAUUGGGAACGAGACGCGGCCCAAACUCCUCCGGGAGGCAGCAGUAGGGACUCUUCCGCAAUGGACGCAAGUCUGACGGAGCAACGCCGCGUGAGUGAAGAAGGUUUUCGGAUCGUAAAACUCUGUUCUUAGAGAAGAACAAGUCAUAGAGUAACUGUUAGCGCCUUGACGGUAUCUAACCAAAAAACCACGGCCAAAUACGUGCCCGCCGCCGCGGUAAUAAGUAGGUGGCCAGCGUUAUCCGGAUUUAUUGGGCGUAAAGCGAGCGCAGGCGGUUCCUUAAGUCUGAUGUGAAAUCCUCCGGCUCAACCGGGGAGGGUCAUUGGAAACUGGCGAACUUGAGUGCAGUAGAGGAGAGUGGAAUUCCAUGUGUAGCGGUGAAAUGCGCAGAUAUCAGGAGGAACACCAGUGGCGAAGGCGACUCUCUGGUCCGUAACUGACGCUGAGGAUCGAAAGCGUGGGGAGCGAACAGG
rnacentral:rRNA from 1 species